CGAGGCGGGCGGGUGACCGCUGCGACGGCGUUCGCGCCGGCGUGGAGGAAAGUCCGGACUCCGUAGAGCAGGGUGCUGGGUAACGCCCAGUCGGGGCGACCCGAAGGAAAGUGCCACAGAAAAGACACCGCCGGCGCCCGGUUCGCCGGGAGCCGGUAAGGGUGAAAUGGCGGGGUAAGAGCCCACCGGCGGCCAGGUGACUGGCCGGCCAGGCAAACCCCACCCGGAGCAAGACCAAAUAGGAGGGCGCUCCCGCCGCCGGGCGGGAAAAGGGUUGCUCGCCCAAGCCCUCGGGUAACGGUCGCUCGAGGCGCCGGGCAACCGGCGUCCCAGAGAGAUGGUCACCACCCCGACCGGGGAACAGAAUCCGGCUUACAGCCCGCACUCGACCC
rnacentral:RNase_P_RNA from 1 species